GGAACAGUCUGUGAAGUGUGGAUGAUCCCAAAAGUUCAUUGAUUUGUUCCUUUGCAGUCCCAGCAGAGUUUCUGAAUGAAACUGUUUGCUCCUGCAAAGAGGAGGAGAAGGCAGAGGAAGAUCACAUGGCAAACACAGCUGUGACCUUCAUCUUCCUCUUCAUCAUGACUUUGCUGUUCACUGUUGGAACCACAAUGUCCAAGAUCAAAUAAAGAAGGAGGAAUCCAUAAAAAAA